rnacentral:rRNA from 1 species
AUGGCGAGCGACGUGCCCAUGACCCCGGAGCUCGAGCAGAUCGACGGAGAGAUCCAGGACAUCUUCCGCGCACUCCAAAAUGGGUUCCAAAAGAUGGACAAGAUUAAAGAUUCUAAUAGGCAAGCUAAACAAUUGGAGGAUCUUACAGGGAAAAUGAAGGAGUGCAAGCGCUUGAUCAAAGAGUUUGAUCGUAUUCUGAAAGACGAGGAGUCAAAGAACCCUCCUGAAGUCAACAAGCAGCUAAAUGACAGAAAACAGUAUAUGAUCAAAGAGUUGAACUCCUAUGUCACCUUGAGGAAGACAUACCAAAGUAGCCUUGGUAACAACAAGCGGGUUGAACUCUUUGAUAUGGGUGCUACAAGUAGUGAGCCUGCCGCAGAUGACAAUAUUCAAAUGGCAUCAGCUAUGACGAAUCAACAACUCAUUGAUUCUGGAAGAAACCAAAUGGAUCAAACAGAUGAAGCUAUUGCACGUUCAAAAAUGGUUGUUGCGCAAACUGUCGAAGUUGGAUCUCAAACUGCUACAACAUUAACACAGCAGACGGAACAAAUGAAGAGAAUUGGCAAUGAGCUCGAUUCGGUUCACUUUUCAUUGAAGAAAGCUAGCCAGCUUGUGAAAGAGAUUGGCCGGCAGGUAGCAACAGACAAAUGCAUCAUGGGGUUGCUUGCUCUGAUAGUUUUUGGCGUUAUUGCAAUUAUCAUUGUUAAGAUCGUCAACCCGCAUAACAAGAACAUCCCAGAUAUCCCAGGAAUGGCUCCACCUGCUCAAAAUUUUCAGACUAACAGGAGAUUGUUGUCAGCAAAAGCUUUCAGAAGUCUUUGA